UGGACAGGGAAGCAGCCUUAGCUGGGAUGUGAUAGAAUACAGGACAGACCAGCCACUGCCUCAUUUUGACCCCACUGUAGACCUUUACUUGGCUUCCUGGAGCCCACUGUCUCAGGGGGAGAUCCUGAACAAGAAGAUGAAGGGAGAGAGCUCUGGGUGGCUGGAGAAUGGGAGAUAUACAUUUUGGGCUCCAGGUCUGCAGAGCACACGCGUGGCCUUUUGUCCUGCCCUCACAUCCAUCUGGGAAGAAAGUGUAUAUGAGUAGCUCUUGGAGGCUCCUCCUGGUUGUCAUUAGGCCUGAUAUGAAGCAGGGCCCAGAAGACCACAGCCAGUGUGAGGACCUCUGAGAGCUGCAGACAGAACAGACCACAAGGCCAUCACCACUGUGUAAGACUCAAUGCACCAGCAGCUCUCCUGGGACCACCCAUUGGCUCUUCCUACCCAGACUGUGUGAGUACUGACAUCCCUGGGAAGCAGAGGUUGUACUCUAUAGUUGCCACCCAAUGGCAAACUGCAACCACUUUACUACCUCUCAUGAGGUCUGUGGGCUCCGCAAAGGCCCAGGUCUGUUCAGCUAGCUGAGGUGGGUGGUCACUCUGGCUGGACCAGCUCCUGUGUGGCUCUCCUUGUGGACCUCCUCUGGAAUGUUUCGCACACCUGUCUCCACAGCUCACAAUGUCCCACUCCCGGCAGUCAGGACUGCUCCUUAUACAGCUUCCUAACCCUGCUGCCACUCAUGCGAUAGAAGGCUUCUCACAACCUUGAAAACGUCAGACCUUCUAUAAAGCUGUUCUUUUUUCCCUAAGUAAGGGAAACUGAGGAUUACUGCUGCUCUUUUGAUUUGUUCCAUCAAAUUGUGGUACGCUGGACCCAAGUCAGCCCUGUACACACACUGCAUUUGUUGGGCACUGUGAUCCCGCACUUUUAAUACUGGUGCCAAGGUCUACUCACCCCGUCAUCUGUGUAUGUCCCCGAGUUCUGUCAUAGGGAGCCAUUUUUGCUUCUUUACCUGCCUGGGUCUUUGGCACAGGGAUGUGGCCUGUUGGUUCUCAUCAUUGAUUUCAGGUCUCAUCCCUGUUCCGUGGGCAGGUGUGUUGAGGCUGUGAUGGAGAGCUGGUGGGAGAUGUCACUGUCCCUGUAUCAGUUUUCUGUCCCUACAGUUGUUACACGUGUUGAUACCUUUGGCAGUUUCUGGUAUCUGCUAUCUUCUCAUGGGCUCCCUUGUCUGCUGCUACGAAACUCCUAGUGUUUUUAGAUGUCGCUUUGCUUUCUAGUUGGGUGACUAAGUGCCAUCUCCUCAGACCUUUGAACAUGAGACAUUUAUCGUGAAGGGAAGGAAAGUCUGGAGUCCAAGUCAGUUUCUUGUGUCACACCAGCAUGGAAACUCAACACUGUGCUCACCUGAUAAAAGGCAGACAUGGGCUUUGGGUAGAUGCCAAACUGCAGCCACACUUGGCCUUCUAGAAGCUAAAGCCAUGUACUAGUGUUAAGUGGAAGGCCACCUGCUGGUAUUUGCUCCAUGCUCCACCUCCAAAGGUGGCUCUGAGGACAAAGCAAGAGACUAGGGCUGGGAA